UACAGAGGUCCCAAGCGUUGUUCGGAUUCACUGGGCGUAAAGGGCGCGUAGGCGGCCAGCACAAGUCAGUUGUGAAAUCUCCGGGCUUAACUCGGAAAGGUCAACUGAUACUGUGCGGCUAGAGUGCAGAAGGGGCAACUGGAAUUCUCGGUGUAGCGGUGAAAUGCGUAGAUAUCGAGAGGAACACCUGCGGCGAAGGCGGGUUGCUGGGCUGACACUGACGCUGAUGCGCGAAAGCCAGGGGAGCGAACGGG
rnacentral:rRNA from 1 species